UAAGUACCCCGAGGAAAAGAAAUCAACCGAGAUUCCCCCAGUAGCGGCGAGCGAACGGGGAGCAGCCCAGAGUCUGAAUCAGCUUGUGUGUUAGUGGAACGGUCUGGAAAGUCCGACGGUACAGGGUGAUAGUCCCGUACACCAAAAUGCACAGGUUGUGAACUCGAAGAGUAGGGCGGGACACGUGGUAUCCUGUCUGAAUAUGGGGGGACCAUCCUCCAAGGCUAAAUACUCCUGACUGACCGAUAGUGAACCAGUACCGUGAGGGAAAGGCGAAAAGAACCCCGGCGAGGGGAGUGAAAAAGAACCUGAAACCGUGUACGUACAAGCAGUGGGAGCCUCUUUAUGGGGUGACUGCGUACCUUUUGUAUAAUGGGUCAGCGACUUAUAUUCUGUAGCAAGGUUAACCGUAUAGGGGAGCCGAAGGGAAACCGAGUCUUAACUGGGCGUUAAGUUGCAGGGUAUAGACCCGAAACCCGGUGAUCUAGCCAUGGGCAGGUUGAAGGUUGGGUAACACUAACUGGAGGACCGAACCGACUAAUGUUGAAAAAUUAGCGGAUGACUUGUGGCUGGGGGUGAAAGGCCAAUCAAACCGGGAGAUAGCUGGUUCUCCCCGAAAGCU
rnacentral:rRNA from 1 species